ACUCAGCUGACGAGUCUCAAAUAGGACGAAACGCGCAUUCUGGAU
rnacentral:hammerhead_ribozyme from 1 species